GAUCAUUACAGAGUUACAAACUCCAAACCUUUGUGAACAUACCUACGUUGCUUCGGCGGCCUCGCCCCGGGCGUCGCGGUGCCCUCACGGGAGCCGCGGCGGCCGGACCCAGGCGACCGCCGGGGGACCCAAACUCUUGUUUUUUCAGUGUAUUCUGAGUGGCAUAAGCAAAUAAUCAAAACUUUCAGCAACGGAUCUCUUGGUUCUGGCAUCGAUGAAGAACGCAGCGAAAUGCGAUAAGUAAUGUGAAUUGCAGAAUUCAGUGAAUCAUCGAAUCUUUGAACGCACAUUGCGCCCGCCAGUACUCUGGCGGGCAUGCCUGUCCGAGCGUCAUUUCAACCCUCAGCACCCGCCUUCGCGGCGGGAGCUGGCGUUGGGGAUCGGCCGCCCUCAGCGGCGGCCGGCCCCGAAACGAAGUGGCGGCCGCGUCGCGACCUCCUCUGCGCAGUAGCGAUACCUCGCAGCCUGGAUAGCGGUGCGGCCACGCCGUAAAACCCCAACUUUACCAAGGUUGACCUCGGAUCAGG
rnacentral:misc_RNA from 1 species